rnacentral:rRNA from 1 species
UGGGGAAUUUUGGACAAUGGGCGAAAGCCUGAUCCAGCAAUGCCGCGUGAGUGAAGAAGGCCUUCGGGUUGUAAAGCUCUUUUGUCAGGGAAGAAACGGUGAGGGCUAAUAUCCCUUGCUAAUGACGGUACCUGAAGAAUAAGCACCGGCUAACUACGUGCCAGCAGCCGCGGGAAUACGUAGGGUGCAAGCGUUAAUCGGAAUUACUGGGCGUAAAGCGUGCGCAGGCGGUUUUGUAAGUCUGAUGUGAAAUCCCCGGGCUCAACCUGGGAAUUGCAUUGGAGACUGCAAGGCUAGAAUCUGGCAGAGGGGGGUAGAAUUCCACGUGUAGCAGUGAAAUGCGUAGAUAUGUGGAGGAACACCGAUGGCGAAGGCAGCCCCCUGGGUCAAGAUUGACGCUCAUGCACGAAAGCGUGGGGAGCAAACA